rnacentral:lncRNA from 1 species
UUGCAGGUUCCUGCUACUUAGUGCCACUGCAUCACAGGCAAGAUGAGAAGAGCAAGAUGCAGGUGUCAACUCUGCAUCAUCUUGGAAACCACAUUCACGAGUGCACAACGAAGUCCUACACAGAUGGGGCAAGGACCACAGAAGAAUAACUGUCAUCAUACGAAAGCACAGCAAGCAUUUUUCUGAGCUUACAGCAUGCCAGGCCUGUCUCCUUCUCUCCACAUGUAAAGGGGUGUGAAGGAGGGGAGUGAUGGAAGGUUGUGAUGGAGGGGUGUGACGGAGGGGUGUGGAGGGGUGUGGCAGGGUGUGAUGAAGAGGUAUGAUGGAGAGGUGUGAUGGAGAGGUGUGAUGGAGGGGAGUCAUGGAGGGGUGUAAAGGAGGGGUGUGAUGGAGGAGUGUGAUGGAGGGGUGUGAUGGAGGAGUGUGGAGGGGUGUGAUGGAGGGGUGUGAUGGAGGAAUGUGGAGG